GGAGAGAUGGCCGAGUCCGGUUGAAGGCGCACGCCUGGAGAGCGUGUAUGCCACUUGAAGUGGCAUCGAGGGUUCGAAUCCCUCUCUCUCCGCCA
rnacentral:tRNA from 1 species